CGACAACACCUGCACUUUAUCCUCUGUGGUGAAGUCAAAUAAUAAAAUUCAAGUCCCAAAAUCCAUCCCUGGUUCUCAGUAUUCUACAGGUUUGGAUGUUCAAGUGAAGAAGAGAAUGAAAGCAAUAGAGCAUAAUGGGCCCAAAUGUUUGUCAAGGGGGAAGUUUGUGUAUACUGCAAUGUUGAUCAAGAGGGGAAUAAGAAUUGCUUGAAUCUUUUUGGGACCGGCUUUGGUGGUGCUUGGAGGACUUACAAAUCCAUAGAAUCUGGAAGACUACCUUCUUAAAUGAGAAGGCUUUUGCAACUGUAUGUAUUUAAAUCUGGAAGAUUACCUGCUCAAAUGUGAAGGCUUAUGCAUGUAUGCUUGUCCGUGUGUGUACAUGUGCAUUUGCUUUUUGAUGGAUCUUGAUGGAUCGAUGACAUUAUAACAAU